rnacentral:rRNA from 1 species
GGGGGGGGGGGGGUUCUUACCAUGCAAGUCGAACGGAGAUAUUCGCUGAUGAAGUACUUCGGUAAUGAUUCUUGCCUAUCUUAGUGGCGGACGGGUGAGUAACGCGUGAGCAACCCGCCUUUCAGAGGGGGAUAACGUUCGGAAACGAACGCUAAUACCGCAUGAUAUUGUUGAGUCGCAUGACUUAAUACUCAAAGGAGCAAUCCGCUGAAAGAUGGGCUCGCGUCCGAUUAGGUAGUUGGUGGGGCAACGGCCCACCAAGCCGACGAUCGGUAGCCGGACUGAGAGGUUGAACGGCCACAUUGGGACUGAGACACGGCCCAGACUCCUACGGGAGGCAGCAGUGAGGGAUAUUGGUCAAUGGGGGAAACCCUGAACCAGCAACGCCGCGUGAGGGAAGACGGUUUUCGGAUUGUAAACCUCUGUCCUCUGUGAAGAUAAUGACGGUAGCAGAGGAGGAAGCUCCGGCUAACUACGUGCCAGCAGCCGCGGUAAUACGUAGGGAGCAAGCGUUGUCCGGAUUUACUGGGUGUAAAGGGUGCGUAGGCGGCUUUGCAAGUCAGAAGUGAAAUCCAUGGGCUUAACCCAUGAACUGCUUUUGAAACUGCAGAGCUUGAGUGGAGUAGAGGUAGGCGGAAUUCCCGGUGUAGCGGUGAAAUGCGUAGAGAUCGGGAGGAACACCAGUGGCGAAGGCGGCCUACUGGGCUCUAACUGACGCUGAGGCACGAAAGCGUGGGUAGCAAACAGGAUUAGAUACCCUGUUAGUCCACGCUGUUAACGAUGAUUACUAAGUGUGGGUG